rnacentral:rRNA from 1 species
CACGUGUCGCAAAACCAGAGGCAACAAAUGCGCCCGCCGAGCGAAGCCGGGCGACCCAUCUUCUCCAAUAAGCAGGAGACGCACUACGAUGCGCCCGACCGAACUAGAGCAGUGCGACGUCCACCGGGGAAGGACAGGAACCAAGGUUCGCAACCCGCUCAACCCAAAGAGAGGUCCAGAGAGAUCCUCAAUGUCGCGGACAAAGCCAGGCCCACGCACCAUAGGAAGACGAGCAGAGAGGGAGACACGGAGGGUAGAGUAGGGUGAAGGGGGCGGACGCAGAGGAGCGGAGCGGGAGUAGGCGAGUGGGCGGUAACAGCGAGGAGCAGCGAGCGGCAAGAGCCAGGAGCGGACGAGCAGAGCGGGAGGAGGCGAACAAAGGCAGUACCGAGGAGCGUGACGACGACAACGCAAACCGAUCCCCGACGACGCAGACCAAACGAGAGGCGAACACGCAGAUAAAUUAGGAGGAGACACUCCAGGAGGAAAGGCUGCAGACGGACGGGCUAGUUGACUAGAGGAGCGAGGACCAAGCACCUUCCGGACGACGUCAAACCAAGUGGAGUGCGGGGCGCGGAACAGAAAGUAGAACGGUUCUACAGCUUGCUUUCCUAGUCGGAAGAGAACGUCUAGGUACUCUUUCACGAGAAGACCUUACGAUUCCAAGAGCACAGAGCGUAGACCGUGAAGGCUCCACCCUGACUACUCCCAUUGUAACACGUGUGACUGAAUCACCACGAACUGGUUCUCCCGUGGGUGUACAUACCGGUCUAAGGAGGACUCGGUAGCCUCGCCGACUUUCUACAGAACCACCUUCCGUUACAAAUAGACUACUUCCCUAAGUACACAUUUGUUCGUUUCGUCUGAAUGUCCCGACAACUAUCGGGUAUGUACUACGUUAAGUGAGCGAAAUCAUGACGAUAAGGGGUCGGCCCACUACUUCUUUUGAAGGGCAUGACGUGAAUGCUGGAGGACAGGAAGUGCCUAUAGGGUUACGGUCCGGGUUUGUGAGCAGCGAAAGAACUACAGUAACCAGCUUAAUGACGUCACUGUCUGUAUCAAUAACAGGUGAGAGUUAUGGUCGGACUUGGAAGUCUUUGGUCCUGAUAUCAAGAGCUUCUAGUUCGUCCCUUACUCUAGUUCGAACAAGAAACCCCACGAGCUCGAGCACUCAAACUCCGUCUUCUCCAGGCAUAACGUUCGGUUAGUCCUCGACAGUAAUGAUAGAAACACCCCUGUGACGGUUUUUGGAUGGCUCCUUAAUUUCCUGAUUCACCAUCGAGACGUACGGCGACCAUGUAAUUACUCCUGAACGGUCUCUACUUACGGAAAGCACGAUCGGAAGGUCUUUCAGAACGACGACAGUGACGAGUGUAUGGUCCUCUUGUCCGUUAACAAGGUCGUGGACAAGCACUCGGAGAACAGCUUGACUCACAAGUUGUCGACGAACGAGAACUGGGCAAAUUAUUAGACUUUUUCGUUAAAUACCAGUUCCAAUAAUAAUGUGCGUACCCGAGACUGUUGGCAACCACCAAAGAGAGUACGGCCCUUACGGUAUUUUGUCGGAUAUGCCGACCUUCCGUCAUGGCAACGAGCCUGGUGCCGACGAGAAGACAACGUCGUCUAGGGAGUAUGACAGACACGUGAAAGCCUUCGCUGCCGCGUCGACUCCGUCUUAAAUACAAGAAACUAUCUCGACGUUUCUCACGACAACCCUUCGGUGAGUACUGAAACUAAAUGGCGUUCAUAGGACCAAAGUGUUCACGCGAACUAGACGGAAUAUAUCCUCCACGACUACAUCCGAACGGACAACUUUAAAGUGCGGAACAAUGGUUCUUCAUAUCUGAACAGCAAAGAUAGAGGUGGUUUUCGAAAGUCGGACGUUCGUGGGUCGACAGGAAGGUUCAACCGUCCUAACUACUUUGGAAAUUCGGACUUGACCGUAGGAAACCUAAACCGCCACGCAGUACAAGACGACCCUCGAGUCCGUAUCGCCACGGGUAAGGCUGCAGAAAGCGAUGUCCUAGUAGAUGUGAACAACUGGAUGGAGGGCUACUCUACUUGUGAGGGUAUAGACGUAAGUCUCCUUUUCCUGUCCGAAGAUACGGAUUUUGUGGGUCGUUUAGUGGUACGGGUUUUUCGCGAGCGGCGUUUGAACAAGAACUCGAGAGAUUUAGAUCCCUGCUUCUCGAUAGACCGAGACGAGGGCUCAACCGAUGGGUCUGCCCUCUGCAACAAGGAGGACCUUUACAACAAGUCGGAUGUAGGUACGGUUUACAAUCGGUCCUCUUACUUCGACGUCGAUGACUUUUAAGUCUGUCGCAGGAAGGACUGGGGAGAUUUUGGUUCUCCCGUUUGUGAGGACGUUUCCCUCAACCGUGAGGUUUCUUUCGCUCCGUCAUCAAGGAGGUACCUAAUUCGAUGUAUACAUGUAUGCCCAUAGAAGACACAAGACGAACGAAUAGUUCGUUUCAGGCCGCGACCUUCCCACACAAAGACUUGUGUCGAAGAUUGGAGACGACGUAGAGUAGUUGACAGACAGGUAGCCCUGACUUCUAGCAGUUAAGUCGCGUGAAAACCCGUGUGUGACCCAAAUAAAACACGUGGAAACAUUCCGUUCCGAAACUGUGGACUUUUUGAUACAGCUCGGUGACAGUACUGUUAAGGAGAUAAAUCCAGGAGCUUGUCUAAUCCAAGGUACGCAACAUUUAUAGAAGCGGCCGGAAAAGAUGGAAUAGAGGAAUAUUUUGAAAGAUGAGUAACAUUUACGGCGACCCGGUACGAUGAAUUAGAUUCAGAACAACAAUAUUACACGUGUGGAAG